GAUGAACGCUGGCGGCGUGCCUAAUACAUGCAAGUCGAGCGAACGGACGAGAAGCUUGCUUCUCUGAUGUUAGCGGCGGACGGGUGAGUAACACGUGGAUAACCUACCUAUAAGACUGGGAUAACUUCGGGAAACCGGAGCUAAUACCGGAUAAUAUUUUGAACCGCAUGGUUCAAAAGUGAAAGACGGUCUUGCUGUCACUUAUAGAUGGAUCCGCGCUGCAUUAGCUAGUUGGUAGGGUAACGGCUUACCAAGGCAACGAUGCAUAGCCGACCUGAGAGGGUGAUCGGACACACUGGAACUGAGACACGGUCCAGACUCCUACGGGAGGCAGCAGUAGGGAAUCUUCCGCAAAGGGCGAAAGCCUGACGGAGCAACGCCGCGUGAGUGAUGAAGGUCUUCGGAUCGUAAAACUCUGUUAUUAGGGAAGAACAUAUGUGUAAGUAACUGUGCACAUCUUGACGGUACCUAAUCAGAAAGCCACGGCUAACUACGUG
rnacentral:rRNA from 1 species